UCUUGCCUCACGUGUGGUUGCCAUUGGCAACAUAAGGUUGUUGGCAGUGGAGCGGCCUGAGCGCUUGCUAGGCGCUCACUGUCACAGCAUGCGGUUGCCCCUGGUAAAGUGUGGUUUUAGUGUUCACUUUCUAUGUCUGGUGUGCACGAGGUUUAUUUGUGUGAAGUUGUUUG